rnacentral:lncRNA from 1 species
AUAAUUUAUCUAGUUAUUGUGUGACUAAUAAAAUGUAUCAUUUUAUCGCCCAAUAUGCUGACAGAUUCUGACAAAUUGAAAAUAUGCAGCUAAUAGAAGUUUACAGUUAAAAAAAAACUGCCAAGAAGCAAAUCACUGCAAAUAAACUAUUGCUACAAAAUAAAUAACCAGAUAAAGGUACAAAAAGAAGUAUCUGAUAUUAAGAUACUUAGUAUAUAUCUAGCAUUAAACAGCCACCUCCUUUUCCAAUAUUUCACAUAAGGCAAGAAAAAAAAGGAAACAAAACCAAAGAAAAAAAAGAAAAAGAGGAAAGGUUUCACCACAAGCUGGAUUCCUUCUAGCAGUUGAUGCUUCAGCUAGUUGGCCGCUGGAUUCUGGGCCUGAGAGACCAACUUCAGCUUCGAAUACAUGUCAGCGCAAGAUCGGGCAAAGUCGGACAGUGCACGAAAGAGUUCCGGCAAGUGCGUCUUGAGUGUCGUCAGUGACUUCUCUCUAACUUGUUUGCACAGCUUAUUAUACGCCUCAACUUCAUCGUCAAGUCGACUCUUCAGAGACUCCACCAAGAAUUUCCUCUCUGAUACAGGGUCUUUUGGAUUCGUUCCCUCAGUUGCGCCGUCUCCCUCGGCUUCUUCACCUGACGCUGCCCUCCUAUGCGAAUACUUAUAAUACCAGUCCUCGAAAGCUCGAGAUUUCUUCUGAAAUUCCUUGCCCAUUUCUUCGCACUUUUCCUUCUGCUUCAUCUCAUCCUGUUGGAGCUUCAGUAUAGUGUCCAUCACCGCUGCAAAGCUGAGAAGAGCGCUUUUCGCAAGCUCUUCUGGAAGCUUCUCGAGGUGGUCGUUCCAUGCAUGCAGGAGGGCUUGAAUAGGGGGGCGUUGCAUUCUCGGAGGUGACGAUACCUUCUCUUUUAAGCUGCUUUCAAUGGGUAUAAGGUUCAGUUUCAGCCAGUUGUUAAGGGCUUGUAUGUACUCCUUUUGGUGAGUGAUGAGCUUAUGGAACUGUGAAUGCCACUCUUUUACGAUGUCGUGUAGUUCGAUCGUACGUUUGUGGUGUUGUUCGCUCAUUUCCAUUGGAGAGUCUGAGAUGUCGAGGGCCUUGAGGUCUAGCACAAUCUUCAGCUGACUUUCAUGAUGCAAGAACAUCAUUUCCCACAUUUUGUCCAUCCUGAAACAAGGAAGAAAAACCAAUUCAUCAAUUUUCUCCUGUAAAAUUUCAUGACACCAGUAUCUUUAUUAAACCGUAUAAACUAGAAACAAGGGAAAGCUGGUGCUUUUCAAGUGUUAAUACUGGUCCGACUGCAUCAAAGACAAAUUUUAGAGCUACCGAAGGUCUAUAUAUGAUACUCAGAGUUAUAAAUUGCAAAAUUAAGGUAAAGAAUAAGAUGUAAAAUACAUUUCAACAUGAUAGAGUGUUGCUGUCAGAAUUUUACUGGCUAGGGUCAUAAAAGCCAGCAAAAAUUAACCAAGCUUGGCGGUUCCUUCAUUUUAGUGCAACAGACAAUUUUUCGUCUGUUCUAGCAUGUCAUCCUGCUGGCCCUGUUCUUAUGCUUGUUUAAAACCCUUCUCAUUUCCCAACAGCAACGCAAUCUCCCAUGGUCGAACCCGACGUCGUUCACGAUUCCCACCCAACACCAUUAGCGAUUCCCCUUAACCGGAACAUGCCAUCAUCUGCCAUCGCGAGAAUGAUUGUGAUGGACACAUGCUCUUCGAUAGUUCACCUAUUAGCAAGUAGUAAGAAGCCAAAGCUUUUAUAGCACAUAUUUACGAAGAUCCAAGACGAUCUUAUCCUUGUCCAGACUUCUUGUGCAAAAAUACAUAGGUCAGAAAAGACAAAAGUAGCAUAUAUGUAUGUGUACGAGGAUUCAAGAGUAAAUCUUAUCCUUGUUGGGCCUUUGUUGCAAAAAAAAAAAAAAAAAAAAAAAAAAAACGUCUUCAACUAAGGACCAACUUGAUUCUUCUAACCUUUCGACAAUAACUCUUUUAAAGGCCUAUGGUGAAGUCAAUUUCCUCAUCAGAUAAUAAUUCACAUAUCUAGAGAUUCUGGUGCGGAUUCUUUGGAGCAGUUUGUGAGUAAGAUAUUGGCCAGAUUACGUUUGUACAUUUUAUUGCAAGUAUGGGAAAGAAGAGAAAGAGCCAAGGAUGGGUGAAUAGACGUACUCAUCAACAAGGUCAACUAGUCUUGGGUAUAGCUGAUUAUCGCGCAGAUGUUGAAUUUCUGACACUGUUGAAUCCAUCGAUUGCAUAUCAACUAUGUAUCUCGUAUGCAAAUGACUGACGGCUGCUUUAGUUCUUUCCAGUGUCUCAGUAGGCGCACCCCGUUUUUUUUGUUUGUUCAAUAAAGCAACCUUCCUUUGAUACUCAAUUUUCAUAAGCUCACCUGUCUGCACUUCAAGGUGAAGAUAAGAUUAGAGUCAGGACACCAAGAACAGCAGUGUGAUACUAAAAUAAGCAAGGAAACGUUUGGCAACGGAUUUUAAAUCCACUAUGACCAUAAGAACAACAGUUUCCAAAUACAUGUUAGUAUGUCUAUAGGCAGCAGCAUGACCGUUCAUGCAAACUGCUCACAAUGCACUAUUUAAUAUAUCAGACUAAUCCAAAGAUCACAAAGAGAACUAAUAAGGAUGGGUCAAUCAUAAAGACAAAAAUUCAUAUUCCAUUGCAAAAGUAGUGGACAAAAUGUUUGAUGCCCAAUAGCCUCACCAGGGAUUAUGAUGGGGAAUAUAAAGACUUUGUAUUCUAGUACUAAUAAUCAGGAUUAAGCAUUUUUGGCUAGUGGUUUGAACCCAACAAGUCAUUAAUGCCUGUAGGCUAGGUGGUUACAUUUGGCACUACCAAAUUGCCAGAUGGAAGUGUGAGGUGGGUCUCAUAUCACCCAGUGAUUCCGAAUAUGCAUGUGGAUUGGGCCUGAUGAGGACAUUAGGGCUUAAAUUGGGGAAGCAUAUGACAACUAAUAGUUCCAUUGAGGGUUAUAAUUGGGUAAAUAAGUACUUAAUACUCAAACACUAAUAAUUAAAACUAAACAUUUUGGGCAGGUGGUUUGGACCCAACAAGUUAUUAGUGUUAGUAGACUGGAUUAUUAUAAAUAGCCCUAAAAGCAGCCAAUCUGGCAUGUGUUAUUGCAUAUGCAGAGUCCGAUGAACUAACACGUGAGCGCCCCCAAGUAUGCUAAAUCAGCAAACUUUUCAUUAUUGCAGUCUGCAAAUUGCUAUCAAAAUUAGAUAUAAGCCGCUUUCCAUCUUCGAACUGACAACCACUGAAAGAAAGACAGCAAAUCACACUGUACUUUACAAAAUCAAAGCAAAAGAUGAAUGAUUUACCUUUACUUCCUCAUAUAACUUUUUCUCCCAAGCUAACAUCUUAUCUAAUACCGUCGCAUGAGUUUCUCCUUCAUCAUUAUCAAAGUCAUCCUUCCCAUCAUCAGCAUUAGACAUGCCUUUAAAUGACCUAUUCCACGUAAUGACUUUCAUUACUCUUGCGGAGUGAUCAAUGUGCCCUACAAGACAGAGCACGUGUAAAGACAGCGUAAAAAAUAUGCCGAGGGCCAAUAAAUAACAAAAAAAAGCAAUGGACCAAAGAAAAUUUAGUACUCAAUAGACUGCAAUACGUCUCAAACCACAACAUGCCAAUCUGCUAAUAGUCAGCUCAAAUGACAAAAAAACAUGGGUUAAUUUCAUACAGGUCCCUGCAAACAUGGUGAAUAGCAAAUAUAUCCCUGCAAAGUUCAACUUUCAUAAGUUAUCCCUGAAAAAGUCCUAAUGUAUUCAGAUAUGUCCCUGCCGUUAAUCUCCGUUAGAGAAUCUAGUUAACCACAGUUAAAAUACUUAACCAUAGUCAGUUAAUAAGGUAAAAUGACAUUUUUACCCUUCUUCCUCUUCCUCUCCCUCUCCUGCUUUUUCUUCUUCUUCCUCUUCCUCUCUUGCUUCUUCUUCUUCCUCUUCUUCUUCGUAUCCUCAUUUUCCUCUUUUUUCCCUCCUUCAUCUUCUUCUUUGUCGUCGUCGUCGAUGAUCCGAUCGUCGUCGAUGAUCCGAUCGUCGUCGCCGUCGUGGUGCCCGUGUGGGCCGUCGUCACAGGCGCCUCCGACGGCAUCGACUGUGCUGUGACCCCGACAAGCUCCGCAACCCCGUUGGCUGCAACCCCAACAAGCUCUGUAAGGUCGCCGUCGCCGCCGUCGCCGCCGUCCGCUCCCACAGCCAGAAGUGGAAGAGGAAGAGAAAGAGGGCAAAAUUGUCAUUUCACAUUUCUGAUGUUAAAAAAUUAACAGUUUUCUAACUGAUCCUGACCAGAGGGACAUAUCUAAAUACAUUAAGACUUUUGUAGGAAUAACUUAUGAAAGUUGAACUUUGUAGGGAUAUAUCUACUAUUCACUAUGUUUGCAAGGAUCUGUAUGAAAUUAACCCAAAAAAGAGGAUACAUAAAUGUAAUAUCUGGAUAUCUGGAUAAACAGAGGUGAAGGUAAGAAGGGGUAGGGGGUUUGGGGUGGGAAGAAAUCAAAGUGGCUUUAAGGAAGAAUAUGCUAUUGAGCUAUCAAAACAACUCAUCCCUAAAUCAAAGGUGAUACAAUGAACGUGCUAGACUCAAACAAAAGAAAAGAGCUCAGGCAGAGGCAUCAAAGCAUCUGGUUUUUGAGAGAUUGUGAGUAGCAGAAUAUAUACCUUUGUGCCUCUAAAAAGGUAAUGGAAACACUUGUCCAAGAUGAAUAUAGGAGGACUCAAAAAACAUAUAUGAAAUGUCACAACAUGAAUCUAAUACAACUAUGAAAGAAUAAAAUAAAUGUAUAGCAAUCACAUGAUAAACAAUAAUUCAGCACUCCAGAUCAAACUACCCACGUAAUAGCCCAUAAAUCAAUACAAGGGAUAUCGACACCUCGUGAAAAGGUUUCAGAAUUUAAGAACAACCACGACAUUACAUUUGUCGCAAAUGGCACGGUGAAAUGAAGAAAACGUUAAAAUUUGCGGUGGUCGAUUCUUAGCAUUCAACAAAGUUAACAUUCUAGAGAAAAAGUAAGUAUGAGCUAAUGAAGGAGCAGGAAAAGUUGCAUCUUAUACCUCUACCGUCGACAAAAUUAGAGUGAUAGUGCAUCCGAGUCGCCUCCAACUUUUUUGAAACCUCGUGAGUGCUCUCGGACGCCUUGAGGAAGUGCUCGUCGAGAUCCGUGAAGACCUGCAAGAGAUUCACACUCCGCUCCGCCUCCGCUGCAGAGGCCGUUUUCCCCCUCGUGGCACCGUCGAACGGCGGCGCCGAGGCCGUGUGCUGGUGGUGGCGGCGGUGGAGUUGCACGGCACCUCCCGGCUUCGGCUUCUGCUUCUGCUGCUGAUUCCUCCCGGCCGGAUUCGGCGGCAGCGGCGGGAGCGGAUCGAGCGGCGCCGCGGCCGACGGCUUCUCCGGCGUCCUCGGCUCGCUCGAAUCGUCCGUCCGCAUUGGGCGGGGGGCGGGGCGGGCGGGGGGGAGGGGGAGGGGGGUGGCGAAUUUCUCGUCCUGGUGCUCCGCGUCCCGCUCGGGGCGGAUCUCGUCGUCCGCCGCGGCCGCGCAUGGACUCGUCAUGGCGAAGAAGUGUCCCACGUGUCCAUCCCCCGGGACUCCGGCAUCGGCGGCGGCGGGCGCGGCGUGGCCGUCUUCUCCGGCGCCGGCGCCGGAUCCGGCCGGCGGCCGCGGAGGCGGCCCGCUCCUUAGGGCGUAUCUGGGGCGCUUCGUCCCGCUCCUCCUCCUCCUCCUCCUCCUCGUCCUCGUCCGUUCUAGGAUGGGGCGGGGGAAGGCGGGAGGGGGCAUGCUGAUGGAGCGGUGGAUCUUGGGAGGGGAGGGGAGAAGUCGGGGAGGGGUGGGGGAGGGGAGGAGCGAUUCCAUGGCGGCGGAGGAGGAAGGGUUAGGGUUCGGCGGCGCUGCGGCGUCGGCGGGGUUUUGUGGGGUUGCGUCGGAGGGUGAGGAGGGGAAUGGGAAUGGUCCUGGUGGUGGUGGUGGGCGAACUCGGAGAGGGAGGCGCCGGUGUUCUUGACGCGACGGCGUAGGCGGAGUGGCCGGCGGCGAAGGCGCUGCGGGCGGAGACCGCCGACCGCAUCCACUGCCGCCGCUCCUUGCACCUCGCCACCGCCUCCUCGUUCUCUAUCCUCGACUGCGCACACCCCAUCCUCUCCCCUCUCUCUCUCUCUCUCUCUCUCUCUCUCUCUUGAUUUUAAGAGCUUUUGCUUUUUUUUUUAUUAUCAGGGAUGGCGAAGACGAAGAAGAAGAAGAGGAUGGAGCAUUCUUUUUUUUUUUCUGUUUUUUCAGAUCGGGCUGCCGGGCGACGGAAGAAGGAAGGAUGGGCGCGCACGCACGGGACCCGAGGAGGAAAUGCAGGCGGCACAGGACGGAUCUGUGUUUGUGGGGUGUGGGGUGUUGGGGUAGCGGGCAGCCUGCGUGCACUCUGAACUCUGAAACGCGGCUGACAGACCAGCAGCAGCAGCAGCGUGCUCGCUAGCAGUGCUUUCGUUUGGACGCUUGCCGCCUCGGAAGGCGGAAGCACGGCUUUAAAAAAGUUUUAAAAAGAAAUUUUAUGAUAAUAUAAUUUGAUAAAAAUAAAAUUAUAAUUAAUUAUAAAUAAAAUUGUAAUAAAAAAUUCGAAAAGAGAGCGGUAAGGUGGACGCGCGGAACGGCGGGCACAGUUCUCAACGACACUGCUUGAUUCGACACGUCCUCCAUCCAUCCAUCCAUCCACACCGCACGGCGCGAAUCAUAAAACAGCAUCGAACAAAAUUUAUUGAUUCUUAUAUAGGAAUCUCAUCUUUAUUAUUAAUUUAUGUAAUCACGGUUUAAAAUUUUCUCUUACAAAUUUCUUUCUCUCCUAUUCUUUCAUCAUUCUUUUUUUUUUUAACAAUUUUUUUUUUCAUUCCGAUUUUUAUUUUAAUAAUAAACUUUUUUUUUUUUAGAUAAUUUAUUAUUUUAUUAUUCAUUAUAAUGUAAUUUAAUUCUAUUUCGUAUUUUGAUACCAAUCAUUAACUAAAUAUUCUUAGAUUAAGUGAUUUAAUUAUAGAUGUCAUAUUUCUGUACUUGCAUGCGUCCUGACCUGGAUCAAAAAUUUCUGCCAAUUUAUGUCAUAAUAACUGAUCGUUUGGUGACCUUAUUUUAUAGUGCAACCGAAUAAUCAGUUGCUUUUGUGAAUAUAAAAUGGUAACAAUUUGUCUCAUCUGGACAAGCUUUGCGAGAGGUCUAGGGAAGCAGAUGUUGGCUCACCAAACUCCAACCAUGCAUCACAGAUUCACAGUUAAAGCCUUAUUCACAGGGGCUUUGCUGUAGAGAAAGAAAGAUAUAUUAUUGUUGAUUGGUUUAAGUCCCCUUUUUUUUAGUAUUUUUUGCGUACAGAUCUUUUCCUACAAAAUUUAACUUUUAUAAAUUAUCUCUAUAAAAAUCCUAAUGUAUUCAGAUAUGUUAAUAUUCUUUAGAGAAAUCUAGUUAACCACGAUUAAAAUACUUAACCAUAAUCAGUUAAUAAGAUAAAAUAAUAUUUUUACCCUUCUUCCUCUUCCUCAUCCCCUUCCUCUUCUUCCUCCUCUUCCUCUUUCUCUCCUGCUUCUUCUUCUUCCUCUUCUUCUCCGUAUCCUUAUUUUCCUCCUUUUCUCCUUCUUUUUCUUCUUUGUCGUCGUCGUCGUCGUCAUCGAUGAUCCAAUCGCCGUCCCCGUCGUGUGCCCGCGUGGGCCGUCGUCACAGGCGCCUCCAACGGCAUCGGCCGCGCCUUUGCCUUCCGCCUCUUCCUAGUCUUCGUUGGCCACAACCUCGACAAGUUCCGCAAGGUCGCCGUCGCCGCCGCCGUGUGCUCCCACGGCUUGAAGAGGAAAAGGAAGAGAAAGAAGGCAAGGACAAAAUUGUUAUUUUACAAUUCUACUGUUAAAAAAUUAAUAGUUCUCGAACGAAUCCUAAACAGAGGGACAUAUCUGUAUAUAUUAGGAUUUUUGCAGAAAUAACUUAUGAAAGUUGAAUUUUGAAAGAAUAUGUCUAUUAUUCACCAUAUUUGCGGAAACUUAUAAAAAAUUAACCCUUUGUUUGAUAAAAAAGAGUUAUAAAGAUUGGAUUACUUCUUGUCUAAAAGUCUUCUCAAAAACCAUACCGCUAAUAUGUUUAAAAUUUUAAAUUUAGAAUUUCGAAUAUCAACUAUCAAAUUCUUAGCCACUCAGGAACUCACCACUAGCCCUUAAUCAACAGUGUUAGGUAUAGUAGAUUGGCUACAGUUGUAUGGGCCUUGCAAAAUUAGUGAUUUAGUUGGGGAGCAUGUUGUAUAUGCUACUUAGAGAAUGUGUGGUUGCUUAAAAAUCAUUAAAACAAAUAAUAGUAAUAAUAAUUUCAUGGAAAAUAUAUUUUUUCAUACUUUUUUAGAUAAAAAAAUCAGUCUAAAAAUUUCAGAAAAUUUUUUUUCUGAAAAUCAAACAGAUAAAAAAGUUUUUUAUCUAAAAAAUUAUUUAAAAAAAAGAAAUUGUAUAGCGAACCAACACCCCCAUUAGCAAAAAUUUCUUACAAUAUAUGGUUUGUAGAAAAAGAAAGCAUCUUUUCAGUUUAGGUCUCUUCACUAGGGUGUGUUUGGAUCCCUGUAAAAUUCCUCCGAAAAAAAUUUUCGGUUGAAAUUUUUUUUUUCAUGUUUAGUUGUCCGUAAAAUUUUGUUUGGAAAAGUUAUUUUACAGAUUUUGAAAAAAAAUUGAGUUUUCAUUUUCCGCAUGCCGUCCACAGAAAACAAAAACAAAGAUGGAAAAGUGCGGCAUUGAGCACGGAGGGUAGCAGCGUACAUGCACGGUCCACGAGGCAGCUUCGGUCUCGUGGACCGCAUGAGAGGGAGGUCCACGGUAGACCUCCCUCUCAUUAUAUAUAUAUAUAUAUAUAAAAUAUUUUAUUUAUAAAUUUAUAANUAUAUAUAUAUAAUAUUUUAUUUAUAAAUUUAUAAUUAUUUAUUAAUAUUUUUAAAUAUAUAACUCUUAUAUAUUAUGUAAUAUAUUUAUUAUAAUUUUAAAUAUAUUUAAUCUAUAUAUAAAAAUUAUAAUAAUAAUAUAUAUAGUAUAUUAAUUAUUAUAUAAUAAUAAUAUAUAUAAUAAAAAAAUAUUAAAUAGUUUUUUUUUUUCUUUCAAUCAAACAACCACCAUGGAAAACUAUUUUCUUUUUCUACAAACCAAAUACUAAACUACGUAAAACUUUUUUUCCACUAAAUUUUUUUUUUUGCAGUUUUACGUCAAACCAAAUAGUCCCUAAGGUACCGUUUGGUUCGGGUAUAAGCAAAAACUAGCUAUUACAGGGAUAGGUACAAGUAUGGAGAUAAAGAACAACUUUAGAUAGUUUUAUAUAGAAAAUUGAGGUAUUGGUGGGGAUAACCGAGAACUACUAUUUUUAAGUAAAAAAUUAGCGUUAGGGUAUAAAAGGGGGAUAAGGUCUAUUUCUAUCCCUAUCUCCUAACUAAACGCUGCCUAAAGGAGUAAGGGUGUGUUUGAUUACCCUAAAAAAAAUAUUUCGAGCUUGUCUAGCGUUGAUUUGACGUAAAAAAAAAAUUUGAAAAAAUUAUUUUACGGAUUCUAAGGAAAAUCGCGUCUCAGGCUCUUUCUUGCAUCGGGUCCACGAGCUCAUGUAAGAGCUCGUGGACCGCGUGAGUGGUCCACACUGUUAUAUAUAUAUAAGAGAGAGGGAUAAUUAUUAUAUAUAUUUUAUAAUUUUUAUAAAUAUAUAUUUUUUUAUUAUAUAAUAUUGUAUACAUACUAUAACAUAAUUUAUCAAUUUAUCAUAUAAUAAAAUAUUUUAAUAUAUUUAAUUUAUAAAUAUAAAUUCUAAUAAUAAAUAUAUUAUUAUAUAUAAAUAAUAUAUAAUAUAUAAUAAAAAAUGUUAAAAAAAAAUUUCUUUCGACCAAACAAAAAAAUUAUUUUUUUUCUCUACAAGUCAAACACUAAACGACGUAAAAAAAAUUUUCUACUAAAAAUUUUUUUUCAUCAAAAUUUUUUUUUCAAUAAUUUUACGUGAAAUCAAACACACCAUACAAAGUAUUCAAUUUUCAUUUUCCUGAAAAAAAAAUUAAAACAGUAAGAAUUAUUGGCCCCUGUAUGGGUGUUUUUGGGUAAGAGUAAUAGUACAGGUACUCCACUGACUAGACCACUACUUUUAUAUUGUACCUCUUAUGGGUAAAACAAUUUGAAAUUGAGACCCAAUCCUUAUUAUAGAGAGAAUAAGGAAAUGAGAAUGCCCUACCACUUUCCAUUUGUUUUUGUUGGCUUUAAGGCCAACAUCCUAUUCUAUUAUGUGACGAUCAGAUUGAUUUGAGUCACGUUCGAAAUAAUAAAAGAUCAAAUUGUACUAAGUUAUAUUCAAAAUAGUAUGAGGUCAGCUGAUUGAGUCACAAUCGAAACUUAUAAAAGUACUAUGUCUGUAAGCUUUAAGUGGAAUUGUUGGGUUGUAUGCAGGUAUAACAAUAUUAUAGUUAUAGUAUAUGAAAAUUUAAAUCUGUUUAGUUCAAUGCGUUUAAAUUCAAUUACAAUAGUUGUAACUGCAUGAGGCCUAAUUGCAGUGGUUGGAACAACGUCUAAUUUUACUGCAGUUCCAACUAUAGUAGUUAGAUAGGAAACUUUUAAACAAAAAAAAGCAUACCUCACUAAUUAUUUUUUAAAUAAAAAAUAUCUCCACAUUGGAGGUAAUCAUUAGUACAUAUAUAAAAUGAUAAAAUUUUACAAAUACAUUUCAGUUUAAAAUUUUAGUUUAAUGUGUUUAAAUUCAAUAACUACGUCUAAUUUUAGCUUGUUAUGUUUAAUUUCAUUGGCUACGGUUGGAAUUCCACGAAGCCCAACUGCAGUAAUUAGGGCUAUAUCCAAUUUUGCCGAAGUUCCAACUAUCGUAGUUGGAAAGAAUAAGUUUAAAUAAAAGAUAAACCUACAUAUAUAUAAAGUAAAAAAUUUUUACAAAUACACUUCUUAACUAUAUGUAUCUAAUAAUUACAAAAAAUCUCUACUGCAUCCAACCAAACAAGAUAUAUAUAAUUAUAAUUGUUAUCACUAACUGUAUGCAUUUUCAUCUACAUUAUAUAUUUAAUUACAUCCAAACAAACAGCCUCUUAAUGAAUUCACUCUUUACUCUUUUUCAUAAAAUAGCAAUACAUGGAUGCGAAAUUAGAAAAUGUUUCAUUCAACAACCACUAUACUUUCGAGUGUUAUUCAAAAGAUCGUGAUUUAAAAUCCCACUUUUUAAAAAAAAUUAAAAAAAAACUCAUAUUGUUACACCAUAAUGUUUAAAAAAAUUAAACCAUAAUGUUAAAAGAAAAAAGAAAAAAAUAUUAUUGGUGAGCAAAAAUCAAAACUAUUAGGUGUUCUCAUAUACUUUAGACUUUAACCAUAAUAAUGCUGGGGAAGUGAUGUAGUCAAAGCAAUUUCUUUCACUAUUUUAAGAAUACAAAAAAUUCUAAAUUUUUUAGUAGAUACAUGUAACUAUUCUGAAAAUUUAAAAGUAACUCUAUCAAUAUCAAUGAUUCAAAUUUCUCUUUUUCUUUUUUUUUGGGGGGCAUCAAAAUUCUAAUUUCCUUCUCAUUUCUUUUUCCAACUUGGGAUAAUCUCAAAGUAUGAUUGCACAUGACAAUUUAGUACUCAAAUUUUAUUUGUUGCAAUUUUUGGCUCGAACUUUCAGAAUUAUUGUAAUUAAGUUUCACAAUCUAGUUUAGUUGGCUAAAUUUUAAAAUAUCGUUGAUGUAAAAGUGAUGUGGCAUUUUAAUUAUUGACGCAUCAUCAAUUAUAAUAUUACUAAAACCAAAAAUUACCAUAAUUCUAAAAGUUAAAACCAAAAAUUAUAAUAAAUUACAGUUUGAGAACUAAAGUAUUACCGGCCUCAACGUUCGAGGACCAAAUGUGUAAUUUACCCUUCCAACUUCGAUGCAUAAAGACUGACCGUCCCCAGAGCAAGUGACAUUUCCAGCUAAGUUUAUUUCUAAAUAAAAUAAACAAAGCAGAUAGCGUGCUAUCCUAUAUCUCUCUCUCUCUCUCAAAAAAAAAAAAAAAAAAAAAACUUCGAUUCAUAAAGCUCGAAUCUCCAGAUAAUCUAACCGCUGCUUGAGUUGAGUUUACAAAUAGUGAAUUAGACCAUCUCGCCGUGGAAAGGCUCUUCAUGCAAUAAUUGGUCGUGUCCACUGGCACGGGCUGUAUCCGAGAAAACACGAGUUGGGCUCGAUUCUUCAACUUUAGUUGAACCAACCUACCCACCAUUUUUUUUUUUAUAUUAAUCUGGCCCAUCUUAUCAAUUUUGGACCAAGCUGGGGCCUAAAAUCUAUUUAUAUUAUUAUUAUUAAUUAUUAUUAUUAACUACAUUAAAGGAGGGUUUGGGGGGACCUUAGAGUGACACGUGUCCCCCCAACCCUCCUCUUCUCUCUCCUUCUACACACACACAUAUAUAAUACAAAAUUUAAAAUUUUGAUAUUUUUAAAUUUUAAAGUUUUAAAUUUUAAAUUUAAUAUUUUAUAUUUUAAAUUAUAAUAUUUAUUUCCAAAUUUUAAACUUUUCAUAAAUUUAAAUUUUAAAUUAUUUUUAUANAAAUUAUAAUAUUUAUUUCCAAAUUUUAAACUUUUCAUAAAUUUAAAUUUUAAAUUAUUUUUAUAUAACUUUUUAUUUAAUUAAUAAUUAGACUUAUAAAACUAUAUAAAAAUAUUAAAAAAUAUAUAAUUUAUUAUAAAAAUAAUUUUAUAUCCGCAGUAUCGCGCGGGGAAUUCACUAGUGUUACAUUAUUCAUGGGACUUUCCCUGAAGGAAAAAAUGUAUAGAGACCCCCUAAACAUCAGUAUUUUGCAAACAGAUAUCUAGACUUUUAAUUUUGACACUUCAAAUUCGGAACUUUAUCAAAUAGUUCAUUGAGCUCCAGGAACUUUGUUUAAUGAACGCGGUCUAUUAAACUGCUAAAUAUUUUAAAUGCUAAAAUUAAAUGUUCAAGAAGUUUAUUUAUAAAAUUACUAAAGUUCAGGGGGUACUUAUACCUUCUUUUUCUUUUUUUUUUUUUACUUUCAUUAAUUUCCACAUGCUUGCUCAUGUACUUUCUCCACAGCAGUCAACAUGUGAGAUAACAAAAUAAAAAUUAAUUCAUAAAAAUAAGAGAUCUAAGCACAUGUGUUGAUUCCACCUGCAUGUGUUUAGUGCUCCUCUCUCAAUGGGGAAAGCAUUGGGAGACAUCAACACAACCAAGAGCCUAAUCCUACUCUAAUUGGGGAAUUAUUUAUCUUUUACUAGUGUUCAGUGUUGUUUGAUUUGAGUCUUUUUGUUUUUUCUUAUGUUUGUUUUUUUCUUUUUUGGGUUUCACCAUUAAUUGUUUAUAUUUGUGAAACUGUGGUCCAUUAGAUUCACACCAUGUGGCAUUUUAAUUUUUUAUUAAAAAUUUAAAAUAUAAAUGAGUUUUUAAAAGGAAGCAAACAGGUGGUCCAUUAAUGUAACAGUGUUUUCCUUUUUUUAUACUGUAAUUUUUUUUUAAAGUUGUCCUUAAAAGUAAAGUGACAUAACUAGUUGCAGUAGUUAUGUCGCGUUAUCUAUAAUUUUUAAAAAUAUAUACAAUAAACAUAUUUUUUUUAAAAUUAUGAUGAGACGAGUGAAUCAAAAGACAAUAAUAUAUACCGGUGCAUUUUAGCUUUUUUCCUCUUUUAAUAAGGAUGUCUUUUUGGUAAAAAUGUAUGGAGACCCCCUAGUUAUAUGUCAUUCUAAACUGAACCCUCAAACCUCCAUUUUUUGUAUUUACGCCCUUGUAUCUUCUAAGUUUUUAUUAAAAUUGUUUUAUUUAUUUAAAUUAAAAAUUUUACUAAGUUAAGGGCUCAAUUAGCUAUUACCAGUUAAUUAAUCCAGUUUCAUUAAUUAGAAAGUGAUUAAGACUAUUUAAGUUGGUAAAGUCCUCCGGUAUUUCCGUUAUAAUCGAUUAAUUUUCAAAAAAAAAGAGUCUAAAGAGUGUCAAUCCAAAAUAAAUAGUUUAAGCUACUAAAGAAGAGUUCAGUUGAGAUACUAUCGAUAGUACAAAGGGUUUGGUGCUAUCGAGUAUUCCACCGUUGGAUUUAAUCAUUUUAUUAUUUUUACCCGUUAGAUUAUACUAUUCAACCAACCACCCACUCAAUUCUAGGGGGGCCCAUAUUAUCUUAACCGCAUAUUUCUCGAUCCAAUGGCUAAAAAACUAAUAGCACCAAUAACUUAGUGCUAUUGAUAGUAUUCCAGCCUAGUUCACCAAAAGAAUGUGUCUUAAUAUUCAUAUAUAUAUUAAUCGAAACUUUUUUUUUCAUCGAGAUUUUUUUUUAAGAGGUACGUAGAAUAAUUAAAUAGGAUAAAUAAAAUAAAAUAAAAAGCGUGACGAGACUCAAAUAUAGUAUCUUUUAUUCUAAUAAUAUAUAUAUUAAAGGGAACAUCAAUUUAUAUGUUUUUAAUAUUUACAUUUUUACUUGUCCCAUUGUACUUUGGAACAUGCUCUUUCCAUUAAAAUGUUCUCUUAAUUUCCAUAAAUAAACAAGGCUAAAUUUUUCUACUUUGGAACCUAUGCAAUACACUCCAUAACGCGACACGUAUUCCUCACACUUCGGAGGAUUCCCUUCUACAUGUGGAAACAAAAAUAAAUGACGUAGCAUAGGUAAUGUAUGGGAAUUUUAUCCAAUAUUUUAUACAUGGGACCCUCUUUUUGGUUUCGAUAUUACCACCUCCUAGUUAAAUGUUACUUUUAUUUUUUUUUUUUAAUUAUUUUUUAACUUUUUAUUGUGUUUGUAGGUUUUAAACCUGCGACCCCUUUUAAAUUUAGAAGACUAUUGCAGAGAGUGAGAAUGCAUGAAGCAUGAUAAAAAAAAUAUUACCGACCGUUCCUAGAGCAAGUGGCAAAGAGCUUGGUGGUUGGUAUCCGAGACCCAAGUUCGAAUUCUAGUUGAUUCACAUUUCUAGCUAAAUUUAUUUCUAAAUGAAAUAAACGAAGCGGGUAGCGUGCUACCUAUCUCUCAAAAAAAAAAAAUGAUAGAAAAAAUAUUUUGUUUGUUCCUGAGAAAAUAUCACGUUGUGUAUGUUGCAAUGAAUCAAUUCUAUUGUUUUAUUUUUUUGAUGAGCAAUAUAAUAUAUACUUGAUUCAUGUUAAUGUUUAAGAUAUUAUAAUUAUCAAUAAAUUUAUAAUACUUUUCUCAUAAAUGCAGAUCAAAAUAUAAUUUUUAACUAUAUAUUUUUAAAUAGAGGCAGUUGAAACCUCCCCUACUUAUUGUUCCUAUAUAAAAAUAUUUGUAGAGACAGUUUACACCAUCUUUACAGAUUAAUAUUUGUACAGACAGUUCAAAUCGUCACCCAUUUAGGACUAUUUCCGUCCUAGCACGCUUAACUCUCUUAACCUCUUGGACUUAGCCACCAUCCAAAAUACAUAAACCAGGUUAAGAGUUUUUGUGCUAUUAUAUCCUAUAUAUGAAACUAUAUGAGUUCUCACAGUUUCUACACCAAAGAUACAAACUAUAUCCUUCGAAAGCGUUCUUCGAAAGAGGGACGACACCGGUACCUGAGCGAGGCAGUAGAUAGCAAUCAUAGAGAAAGAUACCACCAUGCCAACAUCACUCGCCUCCGAUAUCGAAUGGUGAACUGCUUAUUCUAUGGAUUUGAGCUAGAAAGCUCCCACUCGGUAGAUUCAAACAGACCACAGCAAUCUAGCAAUCACCCCCGUUCUUGUCGUGAGCACACCGUAGUCCAUUCACCUCACUGUUGGUGAAAACUCAAAAAUUUAAAGUUUGAAUUUUAUUCUAUUUGAAUUUUGAAUUAUCAUUUAAUAUUCAUUGAUAUUUAUUAUCUUAUUUAUUUAUUUAUUUAAUUUCUUAGUGAGAAAGGAACUAACGGGAUAUUUCCGUUCCGUUUCUUGUGCCAAAAGGAACUCGUUCCGUUGUGCGGUUCCGCUUCUUUCUCGUAAGAAAAAGAGCGUGAAUUCUCUUUCCCUUUCUUUGAUACUUUGAUCUCCUUUUUUCCUUCUCAUUGAAAAAUGAGAUUUAGAUAAUUUUGUUAAUCUUAUCUUUUAUUAUUUGAAUAUUCUUCUUAUCUACUGGGUGUUGAGAAUCUCCGUCAACCUCCUUCACGAUCGUGCUCGCAGAAUGAGGAAUUCCGGUCGUACCUUGGGGUGUUAUUUCCGAUUAAUCCCGCACUUAAGGACGGGAAUACGCCUUAGGGCAGUGCCUGGCACGCUUCCGGAUAAGAUCAUAUCUUUAUUGGAAUAUUUGCGUCAUCUGUAAGUUUGAUUUAUUUAUUGUUAUCACAAAAUUAGUUAGAUUUUAAUCACAAUCAUAUUCCUAUGCGAUCUUUGUUCCAACACUCACACACUCUUAGCUCCCUUUAGUUGUCCUCGCAAUAGUAGAAUUUCUUUCUAGUAAGGGGUUGGAACAAACCGAGAAAUGUGACAAGCGAAGUCAAGCUAUAGAAAUAAGCUUCUUCUGGUUUAGCAAUACGAACGAGUCCAAACUCAUCAACAAAACCUAAAUAUUAUCUAAAGUAUUUAAAAUAUAUUUUAGAAACUAAAGUUGCACCAUUUGGGUAUCCUAUUCAUUUACAUAAAACAUAGAAAAGAAUAAACGGAUUAUGUAUGAUUUGAGCAUAAACCUUAUGCUCAUCCAAGAUGUAGAGCAACACUGAACACAUUAUGCAUGAAAAAAGCCCUUAGUUAUGUGGUUAGAAUAUAUAGUUUAAGAGAUCUUAUGAUAAGCUCAUUUAAACCUCCUAAUUAAUUAACUUUUUUCAAAAUUUUCUUUUAGAAAACAGUUUUCCACAUUACUCUAGUCAAGUGUAUCAUUGUGCAUGGUUAUCUAUCCACAAAAGAUAGUAAAUUCCUGAUGUAUCAAUAUCUUUAUUUUUCUACUAUUAUUAAUUUUUAAGAGAACUGAGACUUUAAUUUGCUCCUUAAUUACCUCGUAUAAUAAAGUUCUCCCAACUAGGAUUCAAACCCAAUAAAUGAUUUCAAGUUUCGACCACAUGAUCCAAUUUGUGUACAACUUCAAAGUGACAACUAGCGUGAAAGUAACCAUUUCCAAUUGUUUUACUUUCGUUUAAUUUUCCGAGUUUUUGUUUCUUGUAAGAUUAUAUAUAAAUUUUUUAUUUUCAUAGAGACAAUGCCGAUGUCACGUUAUUUUUCGGUGCUUCGGUGUUUCAACCGAAAUAUUUAAACCUUUUUCUUAAACUAAAUCAUGCCAACACUACAUUAUGAAGAAACCAAUCUCACGUUGAUGACUCCAAAUUCAACCUAAUCAAUACCUUAAUGAAGGAGCUAGAUUAGAUAAUUAGUACUUAGUCCACAAUUUAUUUUAUUUAGUACAUAUUAUCUAUUGUAUCUCAUCAAACUUAACCAAACUGAGUUUAUGAUUAACUCUAACCCCUAAUGAUCACCAAACUUAUUCAAAACAUUAAUAAGUAUUUAUAAUACUACAACAAUUAGGACAAAUUGACUCUGGAAACUCGUUGCAUCUAAAACAUUAGCAUGGUCCAAAUAAGAAUAAAAUCCAAGUUGUAUAUAUAUCUCCCAAUAAACCCAAAAGAAAUGCCACUUCUCACCACAACAACAUGAGAAUAAUUCCCAAAGCAAUGACUUUUUAUGUAGCUUUUCUACUCCACGAAGCAAUACUAAGAUUCUUGGGAUACCAAGAAAGGAAAAAACCACAAAGCUGAAACAAGCUUCUUAAUUAGUUCUCGAAAGUCGAAUUUGUAAGAUUGAAACGUAUACGUGUGUGCGUUUAUUUAAAACUGCUGAAAAGAUUUUAAUAGAACAAUAAUUGUACUCAAAUAAUAAUUGCACAAAACAUCGUUAUAUAUUAGCUUUUUAUGAAAUGUCAUAUGCAAACCAUUCUUUUUUAUUUUGGUCCCUCUCAAAUUAAUUAAAGUGUUUGAAUAAUAAGAGAGAGAGAGAGAGUGAGAGAGAGAGAGAUUCAUUUUAGCAUGAUCUUAAUCUAAUAAGCUAAACCUAACCAACUCCUACACUAAUUCCUUUUUUAUAUAUAUAAAAAAAAAUUCUAUCCUGUGGAAGAGCCAUGCUUAGUAAGCAUGCUUAGUCACUACACUAUACUAUACCCUCCAUCUUUAAAAAGUGCAAAAAGGUCACAGUAAAAGCACCAAUCCAAAAAUAAGAUGUUAUUUUUUUAAACAAACAAAUAACAAUAAAUAAUAAUAAUUAAUAAUUAAUUAAAAUGCCAACUCCGAGAGAAUCGUAAAAGGCCUUAUGUUGGUGGGAUUCUCUCCCAUCCAUAUACGUGUACGGCCGAGAUGUGCUCCCGCCUCAUCACCGCGGCUCACCAACCUCAUCAAAUCCCCUCGGGGGGCCGGUGCACGCGACACGUGGAACCCACCCAACGGGAUGAGGCCACGUAUCCCUCGAGAUAUUUUGGGCCACGAAAGAGAUAUUUGCGCGCGGCCCUCCACGUGUCGCUCUGUGGUCCCCUCGGAGGCGCGUACGAGAGCAUCUGACGCACGAGGGGCCAAUGGGUUGUGGGGCGGGAGAGGCAAUGCGAUGCGAACACGCGUCCCCCGUAUGGGGGCCACACGUGUCGGUUCCACAAGCGAUCCCAGGGAGAGGAUGGGCGCGACGCGUGGCGAGCCGGGCCUGUCGCUUCGGACGAAACCGCCGGUCCGAGGCCCGGCUCGAACCGAACCCGGUUCGGAGCUUCGUGCCGCAUUUUGCAUUAUAGGCCUCAUAGUGUUUGCUAUUUACAAUUUAGUCCCUCCUCAAAAUUCUCCACAGGCCAUCGAUUUUUGAAUAUAUUCAAGUUAGAAAGGGCUUUGAAGCUCUUUAUUUAUUUAUUUAUUACCCACAGUAUAUCUAUCUGGAACUAAAACUUUUUUAAAAAAAAAAAAAAAAUUUUUGGUUGCUAGUUUUGUUAUUAACUCUCUCUUUUCUCAUGAACAAGUGCUACACUACAUUGCAUAUUAGGUUAUUUUUAUACCCUUUAUUAUUCAGUAGUUUAUAAAAUGCUGUAAUUAGUAAUAUUUUCAAAAGUAAGUUCUAAUGUAAAAUUAUAAUAUAAAUGUUAGAAAAUCAAAAUGUUAUAUUUUUGGGUCUAAACUACAAUAAACAAGAUGUUACCCAAAAGAAAAACAAGGGCUUUUCUGAAAAAAUUUUCAAGAGAGAAUUUAGGGCUUUUUUUGCAAAUAGCUCCCUGACAAAAUUUUAUUUUAAAAUUGGCCCUGUCAAAAAUUUAUUUGCAAAAAUGGUCCUGUCCCUGCCACGUAAGCGCCACGUCAGCGCCACGCGGGCGGGGCAGGAGUUUAAAUUGAACUACACGGUGAAUAGUUCACCGUGUCCAAUACAAAGAUCCCCACUUAGCCAAAAAUUGGCUAAGCCGAGUUAGUUAUUUUGGAUACGGUGAAUCAUUCAUCGUGUCCAAUACAACUACCUAGGACUUAGUCAUUUUUUGACUAAGGCUGUAUUAGUAUUGAACACGGUGAAUGGUUCACCGUGUUCAAUAUUAUAUUUGUAUUGGACACGGUGAACCAUUCACCGUGUUCAACUUAAACUCCUGCCCCGCCCGCGUGGCGCUGACGUGGCGCUUGCGAGGCAGGGAUAAGGCCAUUUUUGUAAAUAAAUUUUUGACAUGGUCAAUUUUAAAAUAAAAUUUUGUGAAGGGACUAUUUGCAAAAAAGCCCGAGAAUUUACUAUCACAAGAUACAAUCUAUAAAUAGUAAGUGUUUGUACGAUAGUUGCUGUUGAAGAGAUUCUAAUUCAGAGUUCGAUAAAAAAAAUUUCCUAAUGCGGCAAUCUCUGCGUAGCCACGUUGCGCGUGCGCAAAUCUCGAGCAUUUAUUGUUUGCUGCGCCCCCCGAAAGGGAGGCGGGCUUCAUGUUUCAAAUUUUACCACAGUUUUUUUGUGGUCCUACAAUAAAUAUAUAAAUAUAUAUAUAUAUAUAUAUAUAUAUAUAAUUGAGCUCCUAUAUUUUUAAAAGUAUCAAGUUAUUGGUGCUUGUAGAUUUUUAGCCAUUGGAUUAAGAGAUAUGCGGUUAGGAUGAUGUGGGCCCCCUAGGGUUGAGUGAGUGGUUGGUUAAAUAGUAUAAUCUAAUGGUUGAAAAUGAUCCGAGGAGUAGAUCUAACGGUAAAAAACUUACAAGCACUAAGUGCUUGGUGCUUUUACAAGCAUCAUAACUGGACUCUCUCUCUCUCUCUAUAUAUAGAGUUGAGCUAGAAUACUAUCGAUAGUAAUCGAGCCGUUUUACUACCGAUUUGUUUUCGAUGAUAAAGCUUCCAAAUUGACGAUCGGCUCCGUUAAAUAUGAUCUAAACCAUUUAAACUACUUAGAAAUCAAAUUUCACGCACUUUCGAUAUUGUUCUUUUAUCCAUCAAGUGAACAGAAAAAUGAAUGGUUAAAAAUGAAUAUUCUUUAAAAAAUGAUGAUAGGAGUCUUGUAAUCAAGAUCAAGAGUAUAGAUCUUGUUUUAAAUAGUUUAUUCAAUUGAUUUGGAUAUCUUUACGCCGUUAAAUGAGAAAACGCUUUUUAUCGACCAUUAAAAUUAUAAAUUUUGGAACCCUUUGAUCAUUAGGCAAAUGAUGUUGAAAAGAUUUGAAAUUUUGAUUUCUAAACACUUCAAGUGGUAUAAAUUAUGUUCAACAGAGCCGAUUGUCAAUUUGGAAGCUCUAUCAUCGAAAAGAAAUAGGUAGUAAAACGGCUCGUUUACUAUUGAUAGUAUUCUAGCAAAACUAUAUAUAUAUAUAUAGUUGAGCUAGAAUACUAUCGAUAGCAAAUCGGUUCUUUUGCCAUCCAUUUGUUUUCGAUGAUGGAGCCUCCAAAUUGAUGAUCGGCACCGUUGAACAUGAUCUAUACCGUUUGAAAUAUUUAGAAAUCAAAUUUCAUACAUUUUCGAUAUUGUUCUCUUAUCCAUCGAGUGGACACAAAAAUGAACGGCUGAAAAUAAAUAUUCUCAAAAAAUGAUGAUAGGAGUCUUGUAAUCAAGAUCAAAAGUAUAGAUCUUGUUCUAAAUAGUUUAAAGAAUUGUCUAACAAAAAUUUAAUUAAUUUGGAUAUCUUUACACCGUUAAACGAGAAAACGCCUCAUAUCGACCAUUAAAAUUACAAAUUUUAAAACCCUUUGAUCAUUAAGCAAAUGAUGUCUAAAAGAUUUGAAAUUUGAUUUCUAAACACUUCAAGUGAUAUAGAUCAUGUUCAACGGUGUCGAUCGUCGAUUUGGAGGCUCCAUCAUCGAAAACAAAUAGGUGGCAAAAGAGCCCGUUUGCUAUCGAUAGUAUUUUAGUUCAACUAUAUAUAUAUAGAGAGAGAGAGAGAGAGCAGGGCUACUGUGCUCUCAGGAGCACGGAGGCCUCCGUGCUCCUGAGCCGUUUUCGAUGAUGGAAUUUUCGAAUCAACGAUCGGCUCCGUUAGACUUGAUCUAGCGCAUUUGAAGUUUCUAGAAAAUAAUUUUUGUGAUUUUUUGAUAUCAUUUACCUAGUGAUCGAAAUAAUUCAAAAUCUAUAAUUUUUAAUGGUUGAUAGUUGCCGUUUUCAAGUUUAACGGUAUAGAAGUAUUCAAAUCAGAUGAAAUUUUGAUACAAAAUUCUUUAUACUAUCUACAACAAGAUCAAUAUUUCUGAUCGAAAAUUUUAGUCCUAUAUCACCACGUUUUAUAGGAUUUUUAUUUUCAGCCGUUAAAAAUUAUUGAUUUUGAAUCCUUUCGAUUACUAGGUAAAUAAUAUCGAAAAAUCGCAAAAAUUAUUUUCUAGAAACUUCAAAUAUGCUAGAUCAAAUUUAACGGAGCCGAUCGUCGAUUCGAAAAUUCCAUCAUCUAAAACGGCUAAGGAGCACGGACUCCUGAGAGCACAACAGUCCUGCUCUAUAUAUAUAUAAGCCUUUUUAUUUCUCAGUUUCUAGUCCUUGGAUCUACUCCUUGAUUACUAAUAGUUCUUGGAUCAAACACUAUUCCACCUACCAUCAUCUACCACCAACAUCCCAAACCUACAUCUCUCCAUCCAAUGACUAAAAACUCAAUUGCACCACCCUCUUGGUGCUUUUGAGAGUAUUCUAGCUCAACUCUAUAUAUAUAUAGAGAGAGAGAGAGAGUUGAGCAAGAAUACUUUUAAAAGCACCAACCUCCCUUGGUGCUUCUAGAUUUCUAGCUCUUGGAUCUACUCCUUCAUUACUAAUAGCCUUCGGACCAAACACUAUUCCACCUACCACCACUUACCACCAUCAUCUCUACUCUACAUCUCUCCAUCAAAUAGCUAAAAACUCAAAAGCUCCACUCCUUGGUGCUUUUGAGAGUAUUCUAGCUCAACUCUCUCUCUCUCUCUCUCUCUCUAUAUAUAUAUAUAGAGUCCGGUCGGGAUACUAUCGCUAGCACCAAGAAUUUGGUACUAUCAAAUUUUUUACCGUUUGAUUUAACUAUUUGAUUAUUUUUAUCUGUUAGAUUAUAUUAUUCAACCAACCACUCACUCAACCCUAAAGGGCCUACAUUAUCCUAACCACACAUUUCUCAAUCCGAGGGCUAAAAAAUUAAUAGCACCAAUAGCUUGGUGCUGUUGAUAGUAUUCCAACCUAGUUUUAUAUAUAUAUAUAUAUAUAUAUAUAUAUAGUGUAGAGUUACUAUGCUAUCGAAAUUAUAGAGGAUCCGAUGCUUCUAAUUUUUUGACCGUUGGAUCAAAAAUUAUACGGUUGGGAUGAUUGCAAAAAAUCGGAAGCACUAGAUCCUCUAUGCUUUCGAUAGCAUAGUAACUCUACUUGAUAUUUUAGUCCUUCGAAAAUAAAGAAAAUAUUUUUCAAAUUUUGAGGGGCAUAUAAGAUAUUAUCCCUAUAUUCAGAAGAGGUGAGUAGAGAGGGGUGGGGGGAGGGGGGAGAGGGGUGUGUGGGGAUUAGGAGUGACCGAAGUGGAAGGAGGGGGAGGGCGGGGAGUCGAGGCGGAGCCAGAGGUUCUUGCCCCUGCGGCCGGCGGCGAGGAUGGUGCGACCGAGGAGGGAGGGCGGACUGACGCCGACGCCGACGCCGACGACGACCUUGGGGUCGUCGGCCACGCAGCACCCCACGAUCCUCCUCCCCACGCAGUGCCGCUCCAGCGCCCGCCGGGCCGCCUCCACCUCCGGUAGCUCCGGCAUCACCCCUGGGGAAGAAUAUUCGGUCGGUUCCCACGGUCUUUAGUGCGGCCGGCAGUACAACACGGAAAAAAUUGAGUGGGAAGUAGGGGUCGAAACGAGCCGAGCUCGAGCGAGCUUAUCUGGGCUCAAAUUCGGCUUGUAAUUAAUUUCGAGCCUAAAUUUAAGCGCAAGCUUGGAUUGAAAUUAAUUCAAGCUGAGCUCGAGUGAGCCUAAUUUUGAGUCGAGCGAGCUCGAGCCCUAAACGAGCCGCUUGAAAUUCUCAACAUCAUACGAUNNNNNNNNNNNNNNNNNNNNNNNNNAGAGUUGAGCUAUGAUACUUUUACAAGUAUCACCAUCAUGGUGCUAUUAGGUUUUAAGUCAUUGGAUCUACUUUUGAUUAUUAAUAGCCCUUGGAUUAAACACUAUUCCACCUACCACCACCUACCACCAUCAUUUCAACCUCACAUCUCUCCAUCCAAGGGCUAAAAACACACAAGUAUCACUCUCAUGAUACUUUUAUAAGUAUUCUAGCCCUACUCUCUCUCUCUCUCUCUCUCUCUCUCUCUCUCUCUCUCUCUCUCUAUAUAUAUAUAUAUAUAUAUAUAUAUAUAGUCCCCUAUACUAUCUAUGUUACCGGGGCUCCGGUACUAUGGUCUCGUUUUCGAUCUUUGGGUGUUCAAUUAACGAUCCACACCAUUAAAACUGAUUUAGAGUAUUUAAAGUUUUUAGAAAUAAAAUUUUAUAUUUUUUCAACAUAGUUUACUUUAUGAUCAAACUAUUUCAAAAUUGUCAAUUUUCAAUAACUACUAUAGCGAGUUUGGAAUUUAACGGUGUAGAAUAAUCUAAAUUUCUUCAAAUUUUGAUAGAAAAUAGUUUAAACUAUCUAGAUUAAGGUUAACUUUCUUGAUCUUGAAUUUAAAAGUCCUAUGUUCAAAUUUUAAAAAUUAUUCAAUUUUCACCGUCCAUUUUUAUAUAAUUUAUUUACUAAGUAAACGAUGUCGAAAAAAACUAAAAUUUAUUCAUAAGAACUUCAUAUAUCAUAAAUCAUAUUUAACGUUGUGGUUCGUUAAUUUGAAUACACUAAGAUCCAAAACAAGACUAUAGUACUGGAGCUCCGGUACUAUAGAUAUAUAUAUAUAUAUAUAUAUAAUAGGUCUUGUGUGCUAUUAGGAGCACAGAGGCCUCCGUGCUCCUAAGCCGUUUUCGAUCAUGGAGAUUCUGAAUCGACGAUUGACUCCGUUAGUCUUGAUCUAACGUAUUUGAAAUAUUUAGAAAAUAAAUUUUGCGAUUUUUCGAUAUCAUUUACUUAGCGAUCAAAAGGCUUCAAAAUCAACAAUUUUUAAUGGUUGAUGUAUACCAUUUGUAAGUUUAACGGUGUAGAAGUAUUCAAAUCAAAUAAAAUUUUGAUAGAAAAUUUUUUAUACUAUUUACAGCAAGAUCAAUAUCUCUAAUCGAAAAUUUUAGUGCUAUAUCACCACUUUUUUUGAGAUUUUUAUUUUCAGCCGUUGAUUUUGAACACUUUCGAUCGCUAGAUAAAUGAUAUCAAAAAAUUGCAAAAUUUAUUUUCUAGAUACUUCAAAUAUGCUAGAUCAAGUCUAACGGAGCCGAUCGUCGAUUCAAAAGUUUUAUCAUCGAAAACAGCUUAGGGGCACGGAGGCCUCCGUGCUCCUAAUAGCACACAAGACCUACUAUAUAUAUAUAUAUAUAUAUGAGUGCGUCUGGUAUGCUUCUGGAAGUACGGAGCGCUCCGUGCUUCCAAGUUGUUUUCGAUGUUCAAACUUUCGAAUCGACGAUCAGCUCCGUUAGACUUGAUCUAGAGUAUUUGAAGUAUUUAGAAAAUAAAUUUUGCGAUUUUUCGAUAUCAUUUGCCUAGUGAUCGAAGUGGCUCAAAAUCCUGAAAACAGAAAUCUUACAAAAUAUGAUGAUAUGGCAUUAAAAUUUUAGAUCAAAGUUAUUGAUCUUGUUUUAUACGGUAAGAAUUUUUUCUAUCAAAAUUUCAUGUGAUUUGGAUAUUUCUACACCGUUGAACUUGCAAACGGCUCACCACGGCCGUUAAAAUUAUUGAUUUUAAGUCCCUUCGAUCACUAGGCAAGUGAUAUCGAAAAAUCACAAAAUUUAUUUUCUAGGUACUUCAAAUACUCUAGAUCAACUAUGACGGAGCCGAUCGUCGAUUCGAAAGUCUGAACAUCGAAAAUAACUUGGAAGCACGUAGAGCUCCAUGCUUCCAGAAACAUACCAGCCCACUAUAUAUAUAUAUAUAUAUAUAGUAUACUUAUACUAUAUAUUAUAUAUGAUUGAGCUAGAAUAUACUUUAAAAGCCACAACUCUUUGGUGCUUUCUAAGUUUCUAGCCCUUGAUCUACUCCUUGAUUACUAAUAGCUUUGCCAAAAUAUUCCACCCUACUACCUGAUCUUCUAACCUCAAUCUCUCUAUCCAAUGGCUAAAAACUCAAAACACCACUUCCAUGGUGCUUUUGAGAGUAUUCAUUCCAGCUUUCUCUUCUCCUCGUCGUCUCUCGUCUCUCUCGCACCCUGUGUCUCUCGUCUCUCUCUCUCUCUCGUCUCCUUCUCAUACUAUAUAUAUUAUUAUAUACCAUCCAAAUCCAAUAAUUCACUAGCCAAAUUAGAGAAAUUAUGGAUACAUGUGUGUACAUCACGCGCGAAUUUAAUGCUCAUUAUUAGUUCGUCUCGUACAAUUCAAGAACUCAGAUUAAGGCUGCGUUUUGCGUUGGAGGAGAUAUCCCAGAACAAGGCGUACUAUCCCCUCCAAACACAAUGCAUAUUGGAACAACCGGGUUGUUCCCCGGAAAACAAACGCCGUAUUAAGCCGCGAACAAGCCGGUAGACUUAUUCCACUACAAAGUGGAAAAAGCCGGAACAAGAGAUUUGAGUUUUUUUUGUUCUGUUUUUUUUUUUAUGGCCUUUAUUAAUUUUUUAUACUUUAUUUUAAUUAUUUUCAAAUAAAUUAAAUGAAUGCUCAAAUUUAUAAGAAUAAAUAAUUAAUUAUAAUAAUUGAUUUUAUAUAGAUAUAUUUAUAGCCCUUAAGAUUUAUUUUAUAUAAAUAUAAAUUAAUUAAUUUUGAUUAUAUUCUAAUUUUAUUAAGUUUAUCAUUUAUAAUUAAUAUUAAUUAAUUUUAUUUAUAUUAAUUAUAUAUACAUAAAAUUACCUUUUUUCAUAUAUUAUUAUAUUUUAAACUAUGUAUUGAAUUUAUACUUUAAAAUUUUAUAGAUAAUAUAUUUAUACUAUAAUUUAGUCUAUAUAAUAUAAAUUAAUCUAAUUUGAUAUUAUUGUAUUUUUAGUUAAGUUUUAUUAUUUAUAUAUUAUAAUUUUAUUAUUCUAUUUAUAUUAAGUAUUAUAUUAUCAUAAAAUAUUUUAUCAUAUUAUAUAAAUACUAUAAUAUAUGUAUAUAUAUAUAUAUACAUAUAUAUAUAUAUUAUAUUAAUUGGUAUUUUGAAUUUUACUUAAAUUUUAUGAUAAUAUUUUAUACUUAAAUUUUAUAAUAAUAUAAUUUGUAUUAUAUAAUAUAGAAAUAAAUAUUCACAUAAAAUAAUAUAUUAUUAUAAAAUAAUAUCAUAUUAUUCUUAAAUUAAGAUUCUUACAUAAAAUAUUAUGUUAUAUAAUUACUAUAUGAAAUAAUUUUAUAAAUAAUUUUAUAAAAAUAUACUAAUAAAUUAAAUUUUAUUUUAAACAUAUAUUUAGGACUUUGUCUAGAACGUUUUUAUCCAACGCCUAUUAAGGAUAUCCUCUGAGAUAUCCUGAUGCAUACCAACACAAUAUACAUUGUUCAAUCUUAAUACCGCGAUAUAUCCCUGUUACUCCUGGAAAACAAAAGUUGUUCCUCAAAAAUUUAGUUCUCACAACCAAACGCAGCACUAAGAGAUUUGUAAGACUAGCCACCAGCCUUGCGAUUGCAUUUAUAGCCUUGCGAUUGCAUUUCCGUUGCAGCAAUAAAUCGCAAUAGAAUAUCUAUCUGACUCUCAAAGCGUCAUUAAUGCUAUUCCCACUAGAAAAUGUUUUUGUCUAACUCCCAAAUACGUAAGAUAAUUAUCUUUUUCUUUAAAAUAUAUAUAUAUAAAAUUUAUCCAAACUAUACAAAAUUUUGAUUCCCUUAUCUGAUCUUUCAAAAUUGGAUUUUUAAUAGCCAUCCUUUUCAAUACUCUUUUAAAAUUUAAACCACUAAAAUAGCUUUUUCAAUAUAAAAUUUAGACCAGUUAUUUAUUCUAAUAAAUUCGUAGUUUUAUGAAUUGUUUAAAAUAUGUAACCUAAAGAUAAUCUACGUAUUCAAAAUUUAAAAAUUAAAAAAUUAUUAAAUAAUUUAAAUUAAAGUUUUUAAAAAUUAGAUAGUUAAAUUAAAAAAAAAGGGAAAACUUCAAAAACCCCCCUUGUGGUUUCAAUUUUUUUCACUUUAGUACCCUGUGGUUUAAAAUGUAUCAAGUUAGUACCCUGUGGUUUCUCACUUUAUCACUUUAGUACCCUGUGGUUUAAAGUGUAUCAAGUUAGUACCCUGUGGUUUUGUACUUUAUCACUUUAGUACCCUGUGGUUUUAAUUUGUAUCAAGUUAGUACCCUGUGGUUUUUUAAAUCACAGGGUACUAAAGUGAUAAAGUGUGAAACCACAGGGUACUAAAGUGAUAAAGUGCAAAACCACAGGGUACUAGCUUGAUACAUUUUAAACCACAGGGUACUAAAGUGAUAAAGUGAGAAACCACAGGGUACUAACUUGAUAAACUUUAAACCACAGGGUACUAAAAUGAAAAAGUGUGAAACUACAGGGAGGGUUUUUAAAGUUUUCCCAAAAAAAAACUUCAAAUACCAUCCCUGUGGUUUCACACUUUCUCACUUUAGUACCCUAUAGUUUAAAGUGUAUUAAUUUAGUACCUUGUGGUUUAUUUUUAUUUUUUUAUUAUUGAUUCCGCUAAUUUUUUUCGUUAAAUCACUAACGAAGUUAAAACUACAGAGUAAUAGGAUGAAUAUUCGAUAAACCUAAGUGGGUAUCUGAAGUUUUUUUUUUGUAUAUAAUUUAACAAAAUAUUAACGAAAAAGCUGACGAAAAAAUAAAAAUAAAACCAUAGGACACUAAUUUGAUAUAUACACUUUAAACCAUAAGGUAGUACUAAAGUGAGAAGUGCGAAACUACAGAGAUGAUAUUUGAAGUUUACCCUCAUUUAAAAUGAUACGAUAGUUCAAAAAUAUUUUAUAUUUUUUAUUAGGAUAAAAUUUAGCCGUGCGUAUAAGAUGUACGGAGACAAUAUAAUUUCCUUAUUAAUAAGUAAAAAAAAAAAAAAGAAAAAAAAAAGUGAACCGGCAAAGUCGUAAAGAAGAUGUGUUAUUAAGGACCGGUCCACUCUUUUUAUAAAUAGAGUUUCGAGCCGAACCGGAAGAAGAACAAGCCGCAGGUGUUUACGGACGCGCGUAUAUUAGCUGCCCCACCCUCACGUCUCCCACCUACGCCCAACGCAAGCACGGAAACUCCUCCUCCACAUUUCUAAGAGAGACAGAGACAGAGACAGAGAAGGAACAUUUAAAACAUCCAUCCAAUUCAUGGACGACCGCUCCCGAGACGCCGCCCGCGACAUCUGCAGCACGAGCUACGGCGGCGGCGGCGGCAGCGAAAGCAGCGGCGGGAGCAGACCCGGCAGAGUCAUCAGAAGCAGCAGCAGCGGCGGCAGCAGCGGCGGCGGCGGCGGCGGCGGCGCUGCUGGGGGGGACGUGAACGCGGGGAUCAUGGACGAGCGGGUGCUGGUGCUGGUGUUCCGGUCGCUGAACUUCGACCCGCGCGCGGUGGGCGUCGCGGCGUGCGUGAGCCGCCGCCUGCGCGCGGUGGCGGAGCGCGUGCUGUGGCGGGAGCUGUGCAUCUCGCGCGCCCCGCGCAUGGUCGCCGCGCUGACGGACGGGCUCUCCCCGGCCGGCCGCGUCGGCGGGGGCUGGCACGCGCUCGCGAAGCUCCUCUUCUUCUGCUGCGGCUGCGCCCCCUCCCGCUUCUUCGCGCUCGCCGCGCCGCUGCCGGGCCACUUCGCCCCGGAGUCCCGCUUCUCCAAGACCUCCGGCCGCAGCUUCCUGGCGCGCCGCUGCUGGGGCGACCUGCUGUACGUCAGCGACCCCUGCGAGCACCCGGCCGGAGGAGGAGGAGGAGGAGCCGGGGCGGCGGCCGGCGAGGACCUGGGGUCGUUCCGGGGGGUGUUCCGGGGGUUCGUGCGGUCGCGCACGCGGGCGUGGCUGGUCGGGCGGCAGGCCGAGCUGGAGGCGCGCGUGCGCUGCCCCUACUGCGGGGCGCGCGUCUGGAGCAUGACGGCCGCCGGCCUCGUCCCGCGCAGCGCGCCCCGCCGCCUCGGCUCGCGCGACGGCGGCGGCGGCCUCGAGUACUUCGUCUGCGUCAACGGACACCUCCACGGCUGCUGCUGGCUCGCCCACCUCUCCGACGACGACGACGAUAACAACGACGACGACGACGGCGACGACAUCGGCGACAUCGAUGAGAGCGGCGUUGCGUGGUGAUUGAUUGCAGUAGGAAAUUUUGCAGCUGAUCAAUUGCUCUGUUUGGUUGAUUCUUGCAGAGGCGGCGCCAAAUUGGUACUAGUUCUUUUUCUUUUUUCUUUUUGGGUGCUCUUUUUUUUUUUUUUUUUUUUUUUUUUUUUUUUUUUGGGGUUUGCGUCUGCUGUGAGCUCUCUCUGUUUUGCUUUAGAUGGAAUAAAACCAUUUGGUAAUUGCGCUCAGUUUGGAGUGGUUGUUUUGUUUGCUUUUCGUACCGUGCGGCUAAUUUACGGGGUUAUGAUUUAGUUGUCCCGUGAAGAUGUCGUACGGGCCGGAUUCGGAAUUGAUUUUUAAAAAUUUGAACUUAACAAACAGGACGACCAAUUUCGAAAUUCAAAUCCGUACCCGAAGGACUGAAUCUGAUCAAAUACUCAUUUAAAAAGUUCAAAUUCCAGAAUAAUUAUUUAUUUAUCAUAUUUCAAAAUAUAUUAUAUUAAAGUUUUAAAUUUUAAACUACAAAUUUAAAAUAUAUAUAUAUAUAGUUUUAAAUAACUAUAUAUAUAUAUAUAUAUAGUUCGGCUACUAUGCUAUUAAUAGCAGGAAGCACUUGGUGCUACCAAGUUUUCUGUCGUUGAUUUUUUCUUUUUGAUCAUUUUCACCUGUUAGAUCAUACUAUUCAAUCAACCACCUACUCAAUUCUAGAGGGCCGACAUUAUCCUAACCGCACAUUUCUUAAUUCAAUGACCAAAAAAUUGGUAGAACCAAUAACUUUGUGCUAUUAAUAGUAUAUUACCCUAGUUCUCUCUCUCUAUGUAUAUAUAUAUAUAAUUUAUUCGGAUGUGGAUUAGAUACGACAAAAUUCAUACUUGAAUCCGAAUUUAUUGAGCUUUUACAUUUUAUUCCUAUAUCCAAAAUUAUAUCCACUUAGCAUUUACUUAUUCGCUUUGCGGUUGUUAUUGAGUUUCGGAUAUGCAUAUCCAUCAACAUCCCCAGUUGUACAUCUAUCAGGUUGCACAGUACUUGUAAUUAUUUUGGGCCGUAGCUUAAUAACUUUUGCCCAGUUUUUGGAUUUGUAAUUAUUGUAUUUUGGCACAUUAUUCAAAUUAUAUUUGGGACACGUCAACAUUGUAUCUACACCGCAAAUUAAAUUAUGCUGUGUCACAAUCAAAAUUGAUAAAAGUUUGUUUAUACGUUUUAAAUAAAUCGGUUGUCUAUAUUAUCAGCUCAAAUUUUUAGAAUUAGAAUAGUAUUUUAUACCGAUAAUUUUUCCAAAUAAUAUUGUAGAGCAUAGUUGUAAGAUAUAUAUAUAUCUAUAUGCAUUGCAUUUCUAGAUCCAUGUGCAUUUGCAAUUUUACUUAAUUUUUGGCUCAAACAUAUUAAGGGUUGUGGUUAUCCAAACAAACUCUGAUAAAUGAAAGGGAUUUAGUACUGAUCUCUAACUCUACGUAUCGAGUUGAACCAUAGUGCAUUCACAAGCACGCAACUUCGUUGUAAUAGUACAAUUACACAUGGUAUAGGAUAUACUUAAAAUGUUUACAUGAUUUUUCAAUAUUUUUUAUGAAGUUUUUAGUACUAAAUUUGAUAAUUUUAAUAGCCAAAAUGAACCUUUAUACAUGUAAACAUUGUAAAAUAAUAAUUCGUAUUGUUUGAAAAUUUCAUUAAAAAAUAUACUAUAUCUCAACUAAGAUUGAUGUGUCUGAAUUGUAUUAUUUAUUUUUAUUUAGCUGUUUUUAAAUAAAUUAAAGAACUAUAAAAUUUGGAUUCCGAAGAUUUUAAAUAUUUUUAAAUUACGUUUAAUGAUAUUGAUCUUCGAUUUAAAAAAUAAAUUGGAGGCACGAAGACAAAUUUAAAAAAUAAAUUGGAGGCACGAAGACAAUUGUACGCCCGCCUUCUACAAAUAUUAAGCUUAGCACUUUCACCUCAUUUAUAUCCUGUGGAUAUCUAAUUCAAACAUCAUUAAACGUUAUUUAUGAAAUUUAAUUUUUUUUAAUGAAUCACAUUAUUUUUGAAAAUUAUUUUACAGUAUACUAAUGACUAUAAAAUAUACAGCAAAUAACUCAGUUAAAAUUCUUUAAAAGUAAAAACUGGUUCUUAAAUUCAAGGUCCGGAUUUUAUAUCUUAAUCUAAAUUGUUCAUGCCUCGCUUGGAUUUGGAAAUAAGUUAUCCACUGAUACACUAUAGGAUUAAUUUUAUACAGAUCAAUGCCAGUAUAGUAAAUAACAAAUAUAUCCGUACAAAAUUCAACUUUUAUAUGUUGUCCCUACAAAAGUUCUGAUAUUUUUAAAUAUGUCCUUAUAGUUUGUUAUCGUUAAAGAACUGUUUAUUUUUUCAAUUUUGCCAUCAUAAAUAUGUUACUCCAAAAAUCAUAACGGUAUAAUAUAAAAAUAAUAAAAACAUCAAAAACUAACCAAGAUUAAAUAUUUAACCUAUGGUUAACUAAAUUUUUCUAACGGAUUCUAACAGUAGGGACAUUUUUGAAAACAUCAUAGUUUUUACAGAAAUAAUAUAUGAAAGUUAAAUUUUAUAGAAAUAUAUUUGUUAUUCAUUAUGUUUACAGGGAUCUGUAUGAAAUUUAUCCAUUAUUACAUGGUAUAGCAUUUUCUAUUGUGAUUAAUGGCCAGGAGGUUGGACAAGUGUCUCGAAUGGAACAGUAUUAAACCCCUAAUUUUUUUUAAAAAAAAAACUAAAAAUCCAACUUAAGCAGCUCAAGCUGCUAAGUUGCUAAGUUUCGAACUUUCGAUACUAUUUAAUUACGAUUUGCUAAAACUUUAAAAUUUUAAUUUUGAAUAAGUUUCAAUGAGGUUAUUAAUUAUUUUCACUAUAAAUUUGGUGUGAUGUAAAUCAUUCUUUAGUUUUUUUUUUUUUGAGCUAAAUUAAAAAAUUAGGGGUUGCAUUUUAUCUUCUGUAUUUUUUUUUUUUUUUUUUUUUUUUUUUUUUUUUUUGAUGAUCUAUGACAUUAACUGUAGAACUUUAUGAAAAGAAUUGACAGAUAAUAAUUGUUAUAUUCAAGUAAAUUAUCCUAUAAACAAUCAAAUUUUAUAGCUUCAGUUGAGAAAACAUUUUUUUUUAAAUUUAAAUUCAGUAUAUAGUUUGUAAGUUAGGUUGCUGUUCAAUUAGCGUGCUAAAUCAAAUCAUUUUAGUAAAGUUUUACGUCUGAAUUUAAUUAUUAUUUUAAAAGUUUUAAUUUAUUUGAAACAAUGGUAAAAUAUAAGGUUUAAAUCAAAGCAAAAUAUUGAAUACUUGUGCAAUUAUGGAACUAACAUGAUAUGCCAAAUUAAUUCAGUAAAAUUUUGCGUCGGAUUUCAAUGAUCAUUUAGGAUUGAAGGUGUGAAAAAAAAAGUAAAAAAUAUAGAAAAUUUUCCUAAAUUAUGGACCAUUUUAAAUUAGCUAUCGAAUUUUUAAAAAUUUUGAUUUUAUUUGUUUGAUUUAAGUUAAUCAUCGAUACUUUGACUUUAAAAUUUAAUCUAAUUACUUAUUUUAAUAAAUUUAUAGUUGCGAGGAUUAUAUAAAUUAUUAUAUUAAUUAAAUUUGUAAUUAUAAAUGAUGCAUUUAAAAUUUAAAAUCAAAACGUCGUUGAUUGACUCAAAUCAAACAAAUUGAAAGAUUGAAUACUAAAAUCAAACUUUUGAAAGGUUACACAACCAACUCAAUAUGAUCCAUACUUUAUGUACGUUCGUUACAUUUUGAAUAAAAUUGCCCAUUUGGUUCUCAAAUUAUGAACUUUAAUUUAUUGCAUUUUCUUUCUCAAACUUUUAGGAUUAUUGGAACCACGUCCAAUAAUUCAAUUUAGAUGACAAACUAUUGAUGUAUCGUUAAUAUAAAAAUAAUACAUUAGUGUUGCAAUUUAUAACGCGCUAAAAAUUAAAAUAUCAUAUUAUUUUUACGUAAGCAAUACAGUGGUAUCUAGCCAACUAAGUUAAAUUAUGAGACUUAGUUAUAAUAAUAAUUUUAAAAUUAAGUGAAAAAUUAUAAUAAAUUAAAAAUUUAAAAUUAGAGCAUCACCUAUUUCAUAGUUUGAGCUAGGGAUGUCAACGAACCGAACGCGAGCGAGCUGGGCCGAGCUCGCAUUCGCUUGUUUAUUAAAUGAGCCAAACACGAGUUGGUUGAAAAAUUCAGUUCGUGUUCAGUUCGUUUAUUUACGUGCCAAGUACGAAUUGGCUCGCGAACAAUAAAUUAGAUUUUUAAUUUUAUUACUGGAUAAAAAAUUUUAAAAAAAUUUAAAAAUUAGAAUCUUAAUUUAAUAAUUAAAAUUUAUAAAAUAUAAUUUUUUUUACGUACCAGUUGGCUUAAAAUCUAAACAAUACAAAAUUAUAAUAUAUAUGUAAAGCUAUAUCGAUCCGAAUACGAGCGAGCUGAUCCUAACUCAUAUUUGACUCGUUAAGAUUUUGAACUGAAAUUUUUUCGAUCAACUUUGAACUCAUUUCUGUUCGAACAAGUGCAGCCUCACGAACAACGUGCUGGCUCGCCGGCGCUAGUUUGCGCCACAUUUGAGGUGUAUCCUUAUUACAUUUUUAUCCAAAAAAAAAUUUAAAUAUAUAAAAAUAAAAUAAAUAUAAAAGGGCCGUACAUACUUUUGUUUUUCUUCCAUGUCCUUCGAAGAAACCAACGAUGGAGUAACGAAACCGAGCUCGCCCCUCGCUCUCGGUCUUUCCCGGUAUCAACAAUGGCGGAGGGAUCCUUCGAGAAGAAGCCGCGGCCGAUCCUCCGCCCCAUCUUCUUCCUCCUCCUCGGCCUCCACGCCCUCGCCGUAUUCCUCUUCACCCGCGGCUUCCUCCUCACCCGCACCGAGCUCUCCUCCUACAGCCACUGCCACGAUCUCCCCUCCCCGAACCCCUCCCCCUCUCCUCCUCCUCCUCCUCCUCCUCCUCCCACUCCUCGUACUCCACGAGAUCGAGAUCGGGAUCGAGAUCGAGAUCCUCCUCCUCCUCCUCGAUGCUGGACGCGCCCCGCCAUCGAUCGCCUCGUCGUCAUCGUCUUCGAUGCCCUAAGGUGAUCAAUUUGAAGGGUUUGGAACCCUAGUUUCGUCAAUUUUUGUUGUUUCGAACCGUCGAUCAUCGUGUUGUUCGAGGUCGGAUUCGGUGAGAAUUCAUUCAUUUGUUGUUGGCUGUAAGAUCGAUCCGACUUCUACUGCAGGAGAAAUUAGAAAUGUGGUUCUGAGACUGAAAAUUAGCAGGGUACAGAGAAUUUGGAGGUAUUUUAAUUUAAUACUUCUUUUAGAAGCGCUACUCAGAACAGCACUCGGGGCAAUAGUGGUGGGGUGAAAUGCCCCCUUCUUAAGAUAGAUUAGCUUUCCGAGCAGUAAAAUAGAACGGAGAUCUACUCGACUCCAAUUUGUCUCGAAGAGAAUUAUUCAUUUCAUGUUGAUCUGAAUUGAAUUCUUGUUAGAAAUAUUUUCCUGUUAUGCCGUGUUCUGUGAUUCGCAUGAAGGUUAUUCAAUUUUUGAUAGCUGGUUUUGUGUGUUCAUCAAUGGCUCAGUUCCUGAUUCUCAUGUCAUUACACCCUGCAGGUUCGAUUUUGUUGCUCCUAGUACAUUCUUUGAAGGUAACACACACACACUCUCUCUCUCUAUGUAGUACUAGACGGUGAAUUUAUUUUUGAUGUUAUCUUAAUUUUUUUGUUGAGAAAGUGAACCUACUCUUAUUGCAUUAUAGAGAAAAAGCCAUGGAUGGACAAGUUACGGGUGUUACAUAAGCUGGCCUCUGAUGAAGGAUCAUCUGCUAGGAUCUUUAAGGCCAUUGCCGAUCCACCGACAACUAGCCUGCAACGGCUAAAGGUGAGUCUGUCCAUUGCAUUCGUUUCAGAUAACCUGAUUGGAACUGGAAUUCUUGAAUGGUUGUAUCAUUGUUUCAUUGCAAUAGCUUCGCCACACCGUCAGUUGUUUAAUUAGAGAUUUUUAUGAUUUAUCCUUCAAGAUAUGCUAUAUGACCAUCUUUUUCCUUUUUCUUUUUUAUUGACAUUCAUGCAAUUUUAUGAUGCUCUUUUGUUAAUACACUUUCGUUCAGCAGAUAAUGUUGUCUUCUGGAUGCUUGAUAACUGAAGUUGGAUAAUUUUGAUAGGGUAUAAAUGUCCUUAGAAAUUUAUCGAGCCAUAUCUAAUCUCCUUCUCUUUUGUGGUCUCAUCCUGGAUUUAUUUUUGCUCGUCAUUCUAAUCCGGCUGUAGGGAAAUUAAUGUUAGGACUAGUGUAGUAACCCGUGCGUUGCGACAGGUAGAUACUAUUAAAAUAAAUUUAGUAUCUAACUAAUAUAUCAAAAAUUUAUUAUUAUUUUAAAAAUCAAAAUAGUCCAAGCAUAUUGGCUUCUUGUAAAAGUAUAUUAAUUUGCUAAAGUUGAUUAGUAACAAAAUGUUCAUAGAAAGAUAAUAAGUAUGUUAACCUAUUGAGACGAAAAAUGACAUNAAUGAAAAAAAGAUGAAAGUACUGAGAAAAAUAAUUGACUAUAUUCUACAAAUAUUUUAAUCUAACUAUAUACUAGAUUUUUCCAGAAAUAAAAGAACUUCCCUAUUCAUAGAAUCGAAUAUAUCUUUUACUCCCUUAUUUUUAUAUUGAAUAUGUUUUUACAAAUACAGUGCGGGGCUCGGGCUAGGAAAACCGGCCAAGCUCUCGCAGCUUGUCUGCGGCUUGCUUGUCUCGGACGGAACAGGCGGGUUCCGAGUUGGCAUAUGAAAAGUUAUAUAAUAAAUUUUUAAGAGACAAAAAGAUAUACAACCUAACACAACCAAAUACAGUAAAUAUAAUACAGAACUUUACUUUUGAGAAAAAAAAAUAAAAAACAAAGGAUAGAAAAAGAAAAAAUAAUAAAUCUUCAACAUAACAAACACAUUAGUCUGAAUACCAUGCAAAUAAAAAAAACUUAAAAAAACUGAAUAAAACUAUCAAAGAAAUUUCAACGAUACAACAUAAAGAAUACAUUAAUCUUUUAAAAUAACUCCUGAAAUUUGAAGGAAAGCUCGAUUUGAUGAAGAUGGUAACGCUAAGCUCGACGAUGCAGCGUGCAAAUUUAUACUCCAUCUACAUAACGUGCUUGAUCUUAGCCUCGGAGCUCAUGGAGGAGGAAAAGAAAGUAGAGAAGAAGAGAUGAUUUACUGUUUAGAUUAGGAUUAAAGUAGGUGAACCAUUAAUUAGACGUUAUGUUUGUAGGAAAGGUGAAGGGUUGGAUUAAGGUGAGUGGACUAUUAAUUAAACGUUAUGUUUGUAGGAAAGGCGAAGGGUUGGAUUAAGGUGAGUGGGCUAUUAAUUAAAUGUUAUAGGUGGAGGGAAGGAUUAGAUAUUAUAGGUGGAGGGAAGACGACGUUAUGUGUAUAGAAAAGGCGAAGGGUUAGGUUAAGCUUAGUGGACUAUUAAUCUAUUACUCUUUAUGAAUCCCUAAUGCUUUAAGCUGAUGUGUUAUAACUUUCUAAUUUUGAAAUUUUUUUUAUUUAGAAUAAGUCAUUUUAUUUUCUCUCAACAUACGUCUCUUCAUCUCCUCCAUUUAAUUUUUAAAUAUAUGUCUUUUCAUCUCCCCCAUUCAAUUUUUAUUUAGAAUGAAUCAUUUUACUUAAAUUUUUUUUUUAUUUAGAAUGAGUCAUUUUAUUCUCUCUCAACAUACGUCUAUUCAUCUCCCCCAUUUAAUUUUUUUUUUUAGAAUGAGACAUUAAUUUUACUCUCUCUCUCUCAAUAUACGUUUCUUCAUAUCCCCCAUUUAAUUUUUAUUUAGAGUAAGCCAUUUUACUCUUUCUCUCAACAUACGUCUCUUCAUCUCCCCCAUUCAGUUUUUAUUUAGAGUGAGCCAUUUUACUCUCUCACAACAUACGUCUCUUCAUCUCCCCCAUUCAGUUUUUAUUUAGAGUGAGCCAUUUUACUCUCUCUCUCAACAUACGUCUUCUCAUCUCUCUUAUUUUAUUUUCUUUCUCAACAUACGUCUCUUCAUCUCCCUCAUUUAAUUUUUAUUUAGAAGGAGCCAUUUUACUCUCUCUUUUUCCAUCGU